GUUCCCAUCCCGAACACGGAAGUUAAGCCCUCCAGCGCCGAUGGUACUUGGGGAUGACCCCUGGGAGAGUAGGUCGUUGCCAGGC
rnacentral:rRNA from 1 species